rnacentral:rRNA from 1 species
AUUGAACGCUGGUGGAAUGCCUUACACAUGCAAGUCGAACGGCAGCACGGGGGCAACCCUGGUGGCGAGUGGCGAACGGGUGAGUAAUACAUCGGAACGUGCCCAGUCGUGGGGGAUAACGUAGCGAAAGUUACGCUAAUACCGCAUACGAUCUACGGAUGAAAGCGGGGGACCGUAAGGCCUCGCGCGAUUGGAGCGGCCGAUGUCAGACUAGGUAGUUGGUGAGGUAAAGUCGCACCAAGCCGACGAUCUGUAGCUGGUCUGAGAGGACGACCAGCGACGCUGGGACUGAGACACGGGCAAUACUCCGACUGGAGGCAGCAUUGGGGAAUUCUGGACAAUGGGCGCAAGCCUGAUCCAGCCAUUCCGCGUGCAGGACGAAGGCCUUCGGGUUGUAAACUGCUUUUGUACGGAACGAAAAGGCUCUGGUUAAUACCUGGGGCUCAUGACGGUACCGUAAGCAUAAGCACCGGCUAACUACGUGCCAGCAGCCGCGGUAU